CUCCCUCUCCCGGGCCGCCGCCCCUCCCCUUCUUCUCCCCUUCUUCCCUGGCGCCGCCCCUCCCCAGCCUUCUUCUUCCCCGGCGCCGCCCCUCCCUCUCCCGGAUCCGGCCGGUGGAGACCGGUGGCGGCCGGAUCUGGGCUCUGGUGGUGGCGGGCGGCGGGCGGCGUGGCGGCGGGAUUCGUGGUGCUGGCGGCGGCGUGGGUGUGCUGGCGGCGGCGUGGUUCACUACGCGGCGGAGGAGGGGCAGGCAGAUGCGGUGGAGACCAUUGUUCGGCUCGCCAGGUGUAGCGUGGAGGACAGGCUGCCGGAGCUUCUCGGCGGCAAGAACGGCGCCGGAGACACAGCGCUGCUCGUGGCCGCGAGGCACGGCCACGGCGAGACGGUGGAGGUGCUGAUGAAGUUAGCGCCCGAGCUGGCGGCGGAGGUGAACGGCGCCGCCGUGUCACCGCUGUACCUGGCGGUGAUGAGCGGGUCGGUGCGUGGUUGUGGCGGCGGCGGCGGCGUGGGGCGGCAGCGGGCGUGGUGUUGGCGGCGGAUCUGGUGGGCGGCGGGCGUGGUGGGUGGCGGCCGGUGGCGCUGGUGGUGGCACUUUGUUUUUUUUAUUUUUGGCGGAAAAUAGUUGCCGAGUGUUUUUUUUUUUUGCACUCGGUAAAGACUUUGCCGAGGCCCGACGAAAACUUAGUUUGCCGUUACAAUUUUGGCCGUGGGCCGUUUGCCGAGCAAAGGUUUGCCGAGUAUUUUAGUGUCUUUACCGUGUGCCCAGGGCACACGGCAAAGUUCCCGUUCCCCGUCACCAGGAUGUGCAACGAUGAACAUGUGUGCUUCAACUUCGACCCCGGGUAUUUUUCCGUUCCUCCCCAAUGUGGUCAUUCUGAUUCUCAAGAAUCCACAUGUUCUAUCUGUGUAGGGUUUCUUUGAUUUUUUUUUUACCUUCUCCGAUUAGUCAGUGUAUUACUCUACGCCUUGUAGCCUAUAGGUUGCUGGACAUGUGGACCUAAUCUUGAUCCGAAACUUCCUUUUAUAAUGUAAUUGCUGCUUCUCAAUUCUUAUUUAUUAGCAAAUAACAAUGUUCUUUUGUUUGUAUUUACAAGACAGGUAGGAAUUUUUCACAAUGGAAAAGCACUUGGCUUAGGUACUUUCUAGCAACUAAAAUAUGCGGUAAAAUUUUUCUAUGCACUCAUACGAGAUACUCAUAUUGAAAUUCUCUAAGAUUACUAUAUAAUUGAUCAAUUACCAGUAAGAACACUUCAUUGAUGGGAUCCAACAGUUCAUGCGGGCGUGCAACUAUGGCAAGGUGAAAUCGUUACCAUCAGAGGAAGAUGCAUCAUCCUUUGUUUCUCUUUAUUCCAAUGCCCUCUCGCAUCAACAUUUGUGACAUGAACCUUCAGAUGUGCUAAAUGUGACCAUAGUUCCAUUUCAGAUAUUUGGCAAGUUCCUGAGAAUUCAAUUCACUAUUGGUGAGCCUUGGCUGCUUCACUGUAAUUACGUACGCACUUCCCUGGUAUAGUGUUUUAGAACAAUUUAUAGCACUGAGGAUUUAUUUUUUAAUUCUUGCUUAAUUAUUCAUCUUGGCAAGUAUCAGUACUGGAGGAGGAUAUUCGGCAUGUUUGUUCCUUCUUUUGCAGAAGUGACACCUACUGAUAUCUGUAGACAUUGACAAGGGUGUUUCCUGUCUGCUAAGUAACUUUGUUCAUUUAGUGACUGCUUGCACUUUCUAGUAACACACAUUGAUUGUGAAAAACGAAAAAGAUGCAUGAUCUGAUUCCAUUGCCUAAGUAGGUUGGCCUGUACUAUAGCAUUUUCUGUCCUUAAUUCUUAUUGAUCUUGUGCUGUCCUUUGGUUCUUUUUUUUUUCCUGAACAGGGGUACAAAGAAGCACUUAUGGAGAUCCAGGCUUUAAGAGUAAACUACAGUACUAAAAACAAGAAGCGUGAAGCCCUUGAAUCUCAUAUUUCAUAUCUUAACAGAGAUAAUGAGUGAUUAAGAAGACUGUACACAGAAACUCUGUUCAAAGUUCACCAACCAGUUUGGUCUAAAAUGAGUUCAAGGAAGGAGAUUAUCUUAGCACUUUAAGUGUCUCAACAUCUGUUAAGUACCUUGUGAUGCCAGAAGAUAAUGUGGGGUUGUAUCAUCAAGUUUUAUCAUAUGAUAUCUGGUUUGGUGAAAUUUCAUGCAGAAGCUCAAAGCCUGAAGGAUGAACUGGAGCCUUCGAACUGGAGAAGGCAAAUAGUGAGCAUGCCUCAAACUGGAAGAGGCUAAGGCGUUGGGCAAGAUGGCUGUUACAUUGUAGCUAGUUGGGGAGUCGCAGAGCAGAGGAAAUCCCAUGGGAGAUGCCUGACUGCCAGGCUUAACAAAUAUAUGGUUUGAGAGAGCAUUUCAAACAUUAUCAAUUAUGUAAUAUCAUAACAUACUUGUUUUUGUCCUAAUAGUUACUAGUAUGAGCUAUCAUGGUACACAACAAUAAGAAUUUAUGCCAAAUUAUUACGGUUGAGUCCUUGGAAUGCUGGCUGUGAUUUCCUUGGAAUGUCAUGACCACUUUAAAGAUUA